GAUGAACGCUGGCGGCGUGCCUAAUACAUGCAAGUCGAGCGAACGGACGAGAAGCUUGCUUUUCUGAUGUUAGCGGCGGACGGGUGAGUAACACGUGGAUAACCUACCUAUAAGACUGGGAUAACUUCGGGAAACCGGAGCUAAUACCGGAUAAUAUUUUGAACCGCAUGGUUCAAAAGUGAAAGACGGUCUUGCUGUCACUUAUAGAUGGAUCCGCGCUGCAUUAGCUAGUUGGUAAGGUAACGGCUUACCAAGGCAACGAUGCAUAGCCGACCUGAGAGGGUGAUCGGCCACACUGGAACUGAGACACGGUCCAGACUCCUACGGGAGGCAGCAGUAGGGAAUCUUCCGCAAUGGGCGAAAGCCUGACGGAGCAACGCCGCGUGAGUGAUGAAGGUCUUCGGAUCGUAAAACUCUGUUAUUAGGGAAGAACAUAUGUGUAAGUAACUGUGCACAUCUGGACGGUACCUAAGCAGAAAGCCACGGCUAACUACGU
rnacentral:rRNA from 1 species